UUUCCGUAGGUGAACCUGCGGAAGGAUCAUUUUCGCAUACAAGGAGGGCGCAAGCCUGACUUUCCAACCGGCGAACGUUUUUGUGUGUGUGGCCGGCGCGCGCGCUCUCACGAGCAACCGCGCCGACACGCUUCUCAAAACCUAACUCAACAAUCAUCAACAAAAGUUGAAACAACUUACAACUUUCAGCAACGGAUGUCUUGGGUCUG
rnacentral:misc_RNA from 1 species